GAAAAGCCUCUAGCGAGCGCAUACACGGCCCGUACCCCAAACCGACACAGGUGGUCAGGUAGAGAAUACCGAGGCGUACGAGUGAACUGUGGUUAAGGAACUCGGCAAAAUGCCCCCGUAACUUCGGGAGAAGGGGGACCCACGUACCGUGAACGUCCUUGCGGCGGGAGCGGGGGNGGGUGGCACAGACCAGCGAGAAGCGACUGUUUACUAAAAACACAGGUCCGUGCGAAGUCGCAAGACGAUGUAUACGGACUGACGCCUGCCCGGUGCUGGAAGGUUAAGAGGACCCGUUAACCCUUCGGGGUGAAGCGGAGAAUUUAAGCCCCAGUAAACGGCGGUGGUAACUAUAACCAUCCUAAGGUAGCGAAAUUCCUUGUCGGGUAAGUUCCGACCUGCACGAAUGGCGUAACGACUUCUCGACUGUCUCAACCACAGACUCGGCGAAAUUGCACUACGAGUAAAGAUGCUCGUUACGCGCGGCAGGACGAAAAGACCCCGGGACCUUUACUACAACUUGGUAUUGGUGCUCGAUGCGGUUUGUGUAGGAUAGGUGGGAGACUGUGAAGCCUGGACGCCAGUUCGGGUGGAGUCGUCGUUGAAAUACCACUCUGAUCGUAUUGGGCAUCUAACCUCGAACCCUGAAUCGGGUUCAGGGACAGUGCCUGGCGGGUAGUUUAACUGGGGCGGUUGCCUCCUAAAAGGUAACGGAGGCGCCCAAAGGUUCCCUCAACCUGGACGGCAAUCAGGUGUUGAGUGUAAGUGCACAAGGGAGCUUGACUGCGAGACGGACGUGUCAAGCAGGGACGAAAGUCGGGACUAGUGAUCCGGCACCCCCGAGUGGAAGGGGUGUCGCUCAACGGAUAAAAGGUACCCCGGGGAUAACAGGCUGAUCUUCCCCAAGAGUCCAUAUCGACGGGAUGGUUUGGCACCUCGAUGUCGGCUCGUCGCAUCCUGGGGCUGGAGCAGGUCCCAAGGGUUGGGCUGUUCGCCCAUUAAAGCGGCACGCGAGCUGGGUUUAGAACGUCGUGAGACAGUUCGGUCUCUAUCCGCCGCGCGCGUCAGAAGCUUGAGGAAACCUGUCCCUAGUACGAGAGGACCGGGACGGACGAACCUCUGGUACACCAGUUGUCCCGCCAGGGGCACCGCUGGAUAGCCACGUUCGGACAGGAUAACCGCUGAAAGCAUCUAAGCGGGAAACCCCUUCCAAGACCAGGCUUCUCACCCUCCAGGAGGGAUAAGGCCCCCCGCAGAACACGGGAUUGAUAGGCCAGACCUGCACGCACAGCAAUGUGUUGAGGGAACUGGCACUAACCGGCCGAAAACUUACACA
rnacentral:rRNA from 1 species